rnacentral:rRNA from 1 species
UACGUAGGUGACCAGCGUUGUCCGGAUUUACUGGGCGUAAAGAGCGCGCAGGCGGUCGUUCAAGUCGAGUGUGAAAGCCCCCGGCUCAACUGGGGAGGGUCACUCGAUACUGAUCGACUUGAAGGCAGGAGAGGGAAGCGGAAUUCCCGGUGUAGUGGUGAAAUGCGUAGAUAUCAGGAGGAACACCAAUGGCGAAGGCAGCUCGCUGGGACGGUACUGACGCUGAGGCGCGAAAGCGUGGGGAGCAAACAGG